rnacentral:rRNA from 1 species
CAGUCGCCGCGGUAAUACGUAGGUGGCAAGCGUUGUCCGGAAUUAUUGGGCGUAAAGGGCUCGCGGGCGGUUUCUUAAGUCUGAUGUGAAAGCCCCCGGCUCAACCGGGGAGGGUCAUUGGAAACUGGGAAACUUGAGUGCAGAAGAGGAGAGUGGAAUUCCACGUGUAGCGGUGAAAUGCGUAGAGAUGUGGAGGAACACCAGUGGCGAAGGCGACUCUCUGGUCUGUAACUGACGCUGAGGAGCGAAAGCGUGGGGAGCGAACAGGAUUAGAUACCCCCGUAGUCCCUGUCUCUUAUAC